rnacentral:rRNA from 1 species
GACGAACGCUGGCGGCGUGCUUAAUACAUGCAAGUCGAACGGACAGGCCCUGCUCUUGUGGGGUUCUCGUGUGGCGAACGGGUGAGUAACACGCGUGUAUCCCGCACUUGUCUUUGUGAUAUCUUCAGGAAACUGGGGCUAAUACCGGAUAGGAUCUCCUGCUGCAUGGUGGGGGUUGGAAAGUGACGGCGGUGGGGGAUGGACUCGCGGCUUAUGAGCUUGAUGGUGAGGUAGUGGCUUACAAAGGCUUUGACGGGUAGCCGGCCUGAGAGGCGGACCGGCCACAAUGGUCCUGAGAGACGGAGCAGACGCCAACGGGAGGCAGCAGUGGGGAGUUUUGCACAAUGGGCGGAAGUCAGAGGCAGCAGCGCCGCGUUCGGGAUAACGGCUUUCGGGGUGUAAACCGAUUUCGCAGGAGACGAAGCGUUAGUGACGGUAAUGGGUAAAGAAGCACCGGCUAACUACGUG